CGGUGGGUCUUAGGCGGGGGGCUAGGGGUCCCCUGAGAGGCAUACGGCCUCGACCGUAAACCCCCUAUACGACGGGCCGAAAGCUGAAGUGAGGCGUGUAAGGCCGCUAACCCAGCCAGCCUGAAACGAUGAGUAUCUGUCCUCUGGGGCUGACGGUCACGGAGCACCCCUCGAAGGAGGGGUGUAACCGUGUUUGCCGGACGAACCUGGCUAGGCCCGGGAGGGAGCAACCUAAGUCCGGACGUUCAGUGCUCAGAGGGGUGCGGGUAUGAGUGGAAGGUUGGUUUGGGGUUUGCGGAUUCUGCACGUCGAGCUUCAGUGACCCACCG
rnacentral:SRP_RNA from 1 species